AUGGACGUCGUUGUAGGGCUGCCGUCUUCUCCGCCCGACUCCGGCCGCUCCUCGCCGUCCCCGACCGCGUCGCCCGAGUUCGAGUUCUGGAUGGUGGGCAAGAACCCGGGCUCCUUCCCCUCCCCCGCCCUGCUCACCGCCGACGAGCUCUUCUCCGGCGGCAUUGUGCUCCCGCUCCACACCCUCCAGGCCCCUCCUGCCUGCCCCGACGCCGACCAAGACCAAGACGCCGGGGAAGACGCUGAGGCCGAUGCCGACGCCGACGACGUCAACGAGUCCGCCGAGCCGCCGGAGGAAGAAGGGGAGCCUGCCACGCAGGCGCAGCCGCUCGCGGAGGCCUGCGCCGUCCCGACGCCGGACCUCCCCGCGGUCACCUUCAAGUGGAAGGACAUCUUCAAGGCCACCGGCGAGUCCAAGGAGCGCGCCAAGAAGGCGGAGCGCCGCGUCAGCAGCGUCAGCGGCAACGCCGAGCUCAUCAACAUCAACAUAUGGCCCUUCUCCCGGAGCCGCUCCGCUGGCCACUCUACCUCCGGCGCCGGCGCCGGCGCUAGCAGCAAGGCCAAGGCGACCAGUCCCAGCACCGGCAACGCCAGUGCAGCUGCGGCCAGCGCACCGGCGGCUCCUACCGCGACGGCGGCCGGGCGCAAGGUGAGCAGCGCGCCGUGCUCCCGGAGCAACUCACGCGGCGAGGCCUCCGGGUCGGGGGUGCCGGCCGUCGCCAUCGCGGCGGCAGCUGAAAAGGCCGCUGCCCAAGCGCCCGCCACGUCCAUGCUGAGGCGGUGGGUUCCCGGCGGCCAGGGCAGAGCAGGCCUGAGCGCGAACGGCAUCCGCCUGGGCAGGGCCAGCCCCGUCUGGCAGCUGAGGCGCAACAAGCUACAGCAGCAGCAAGCCGCCGCGGAGCAGAAGCAGAGCAGCAACGCCACCGCCACCGCCAGCGGCAAGAGCAAGGCCGUCCCCGAACAAGACGACGCCGCGACGAGCCAAGGCCAAGCGGACGGCGGCGAAGCAGACAAGGCGACGGCGUCCGCUGCUGCAGAUGCAGCGCCGGCGACCGUGAGCGCGCCAGCCGCCGCGUGCCGGAACAACGCGGAAGUCGCCGGCGAGGAGUGCGUGCCGCCGCAGGGGCUGUUCGGCCUCCGCACCUUCUUCUCCAAGAAGGUGUACUGA
rnacentral:rRNA from 1 species